UCCGAGUUGACCCCGGCAGUCUCCUACGAGUCCCCGGCAUUACCCGCUGGCAACAUAGGACAAGGGUUGCGCUCGUUGCGGGACUUAACCCAACAUCUCACGACACGAGCUGACGACAGCCAUGCACCACCUGUGACGGUGCCCCGAAGGGAGGCCGUGUUUCCACGGCUGUCACCGACAUGUCAAGCCCAGGUAAGGUUCUUCGCGUUGCGUCGAAUUAAACCACAUGCUCCGCUGCUUGUGCGGGUCCCCGUCAAUUCCUUUGAGUUUUAGCCUUGCGGCCGUACUCCCCAGGCGGGGCGCUUAAUGCGUUAGCUACGGCACGGAUCCCGUGGAAGGUGGGGAUGACGUCGUACACCUGAAC
rnacentral:misc_RNA from 1 species